AGCAUUGCUAGGUGUCAUUCGCCUGGUGGAGUACUUAUGCCAGAAUCAUUUACUCGGAAAAGAGAGACCCAUGAAAUUGGUGGUAGAUGCUGGGACAGGUACAACGGCUAUUGGGACUUGGAACCUUAUGUUUAGGGCUUCCAUGGCAGGUGAAUGCUGUCAUACUGGCUGAUACGAUUGAUGCAUACAAACAAAAGGAGAAAGCGUUAAUUUCUGAUUUCAG
rnacentral:misc_RNA from 1 species